rnacentral:tRNA from 1 species
GGGAUUGUGGCUCAGUGGUAGAGCGCCCACCUAGCAAGUGCGAGGCCCUGGGUUCAAUCCUCAGCACCA